GCGUCCCUGCCAUGUUCGACCACGGAGGCAUGCGUUUUUUGAACCGAUGCUGAUUGAACCCUGGGGUCCGCUCGAAGCCGCGACAGCCGGACAUGCUCUGAUGCGUCAGAGAGCUCCGGCCGGCCCGAAAAGACACCCACCUUUUUUGCGAAGGGUUCAAAAAAUUGGCCUCCGACCGGCAUUACGGUGGAGACGCA
rnacentral:sRNA from 1 species